UUGGCUCCGGUUCACGUCCGCACCCCGCGAGGCGACCCGGGCC
rnacentral:ncRNA from 1 species